rnacentral:rRNA from 1 species
CAGCCGCCGCGGUAAUACGAAAGGGGCUAGCGUUGCUCGGAAUUACUGGGCGUAAAGGGAGCGUAGGCGGAUCGUUAAGUUGGGGGUGAAAGCCCGGGGCUCAACUUCGGAAUUGCCUUCAAUACUGGCGAUCUUGAGUAUGGAAGAGGUAUGUGGAACUCCGAGUGUAGAGGUGAAAUUCGUAGAUAUUCGGAAGAACACCAGUGGCGAAGGCGUCAUACUGGUCCAUUACUGACGCUGAGGCUCGAAAGCGUGGGGAGCAAACAGGAUUAGAGACCCCAGUAGUCCCUGUCUCUUAUAC